CUUGCUGCGGACAAAUGAAAUGAAUGUGGGCAUCUAUAGCUCCUGCAGUAAUAAUUUGACCUUCGCCGGCAAUUAUUUCCGUGCCGGGCCCGAUUACGAUCGAAAUAUCUGACUGUAUAUCGGGAUUUCCAGCCUUACCUAUGGAAUGAAUCUUUCCAUUUUUCAGCCCAAUGUCUGCCUUAACAAUUCCCCAAUGAUCUAGAAUCAAUGCAUUGGUGAUUAUCGUAUCCAUCGAUUCAGCAUCACCUCGCUGGCUUUGGCCCAUCCCGUCCC
rnacentral:sRNA from 1 species